AUUGAACGCUGGCGGCAUGCCUUACACAUGCGAGUCGAACGGCAGCACGGGAGCAAUCCUGGUGGCGAGUGGCGAACGGGUGAGUAAAGUAUCGGAACGUGCCCAGUCGUGGGGGAUAACGUAGCGAAAGUUACGCUAAUACCGCAUACGAUCUACGGAUGAAAGCGGGGGAUCGCAAGACCUCGCGCGAUUGGAGCGGCUGAUAUCAGAUUAGGUAGUUGGUGGGGUAAAGGCUCACCAAGCCGACGAUCUGUAGCUGGUCUGAGAGGACGACCAGCCACACUGGGACUGGGACACGGCCCAGACUCCUACGGGAGGCAGCAGUGGGGAAUUUUGGACAAUGGGCGCAAGCCUGAUCCAGCCAUGCCGCGUGCAGGAUGAAGGCCUUCGGGUUGUAAACUGCUUUUGUACGGAACGAAAAGGUUUGGCCUAAUAAGCUGGACCCAUGACGGUACCGUAAGAAUAAGCACCGGCUAACUACGUGCCAGCAGCCGCCGCGGUAA
rnacentral:rRNA from 1 species